rnacentral:rRNA from 1 species
ACUCCUACGGGAGGCAGCAGUGGGGAAUCUUGGACAAUGGGCGCAAGCCUGAUCCAGCCAUGCCGCGUGAGUGAUGAAGGCCUUAGGGUCGUAAAGCUCUUUCGCCAGGGAUGAUAAUGACAGUACCUGGUAAACGAAACCCGGCUAACUCCGUGCCAGCAGCCGCGGUAAGUACGGAGGGGUUAGCGUUGUUCGGAAUUACUGGGCGUAAAGCGCGCGUAGGCGGAUCAGAAAGUUGGGGUGAAUCCCGGGCUCACCCGGACGGCUCAAACUCUGGUCUUGAGUUCGAGAGAGGUGAGUGGAAUUCCGAGUGUAGAGGUGAAAUUCGUAGAUAUUCGGAGGAACACCGAGUGGCGAAGGCGGCUCACUGGCUCGAUACUGACGCUGAGGUGCGAAAGUGUGGGAGCAAACAGGAUUAGAUACCCUGGUAGACUGUCA